AUAUCUGGGGUGCCCAAAACAGGCUGAGAGAAACCAAGGUUUCAACCCAUAUAACCUGAUACGGAUAAUACUGGCGUAGGAAGAUAUA
rnacentral:ncRNA from 1 species